AUCUUUCAGAAUUAACCAGUUUUCUAAAAUUCACGGAUAUAUCUUUAUCAAAGUAAUUAUUUGAUCCUUCAUUAAAAGGAUCAUAUUUGCAGCUGCAGCGUGUAGCUUUGAGUCAUGUCGAGGCAGUUCAGGGAAUUCUUGAGGAAUUCCAAGCAGUGCUGAAAUAGUUGUCUUUUAAUUGUCUGCUUUGCAGGAGGCAGAAAGGUUUUCAGAGGCAGUGCAACACACUUCCCCGGAAAUGUGGAUGUAGCAAAAACAGUUCACAGCCCACUUAAAAGUGCUAAGCUCAAUUCUUUCGCUUUGCUUUUUCUAGCAUUUAGAGGAAGCAACGUGUAGCAACCUAUCAAAAUGAAAACAAGCAAGCAAACAAACAAAACCCACAAACCACAAUCUACAAAGGACAAAGCAAGAUCAACAAGCAAAAUCCCUACUCUCUCUAGCCCUCCAAAGAAGGAUACUCCCAUUGCGCAUUCCACAAUCUGGAGGAAAGAAAGAAAUAACAGAGGAGACAGUUUUAUUGUGUCACUAAAUACACUUCUAGUUGAAAAUGGGUUUCCAAAAUAAUGAGCAGAGGACAGUGCUCUGUGUUGAACAGAGGGGUUACCCAUGUUAGGAAAUGACCUCAGUGCUUCUACAUUCUGUAGUAUCUUCUCAUUGAACAUGGUCUGGCUUUACGUAUUUCAGUAAUAUCUCUAAAUCUUUCCAAGAGAAACAAGCUUCUCAAUCUCUCUUUUUAUUUAGAUAUCAUACACCACAUAUUCAGUGCUUAUUGACUAAAUGCCACUCAAAAGCUUUUUUGGUUUGCAAUCAUCUGCACAUUACAGUGUAUCAACGUAAUAAAUCACAGCGUUUUCAGUGAAGUUACCAACACUUCUUUGUGGUGGAACCAGCACCAUCAAUUUGAAAUGCAGCCUUUCCCCUCAGCAAUCAGGUCUAAUAGUUCCCUCUAGUGGAGAAAUGUAUUUUUACACAGUAAAGGCACCUUUCGUGCUUGUGAUUUGAAGAUAAAUAUUUAACGCGGAAGUAAAUAUUUCUACAGAGCAUUAUAAAUACUCCUAAAUGCUAUUCUAUUUCUCAAAAAAUAGGAUGAAAGGGAGAUGGUGAGUAUUCUAACUUGUACUACUGAAAACAACAGACAAAGGAUUGGAUUUAUACUUAAUUAUUGGUCUGGUUAUAAAAGAAGAAUUGGCCAAAUUUUCCUAGACAUUCUGUUCUAAUCUGAGUUAAAAUGCAAAAUACAAUAGAAAAAAAUGCACUUCAUUUUUUUUUCCCCUUAAAAGACAUUAAUAUGUUUUUGUGUGUGUGUGUGUGCUAAAAGCGAUCCUCUAAAAACUUUUCCCUAGGUCACUUUUUUUCUUAAAACUGUUCUGUUUGAGGCCAUUGGCUCCCUGCUGUUUCUUGAAAAAUGCAUUUCAAAAAGAUUAGGUGCCCUAAAAAAAUUUUACAGCUGACUAAAACUGCCUAUGGCUGGUAGUUACGGAUUUACAACAUAUUAUAAACCCAUGUUUCCAGGCUUCUUAAAUAACCCUGCCUAAUCUUUUGGGCUGAAUCUUUUGGCCUGAAACUGCAUUUCUGUCUCAAGGUCAGUGUUCUGGAAAGCUUAAACAUGAGGUAUGAAUGUCAUCGCUUGAGGCUCCCCAUAUACUUGACAAGAGAAAGGCAUCCCACAGCUGAUUCAGUUCUUGUGUGCCCUGUGGCAGGGUCUGGCUUCAUUCACUACAAAAGGAUGGAGUGCAACUACCCUUAAUUUAAAAGAUUCAAUUAAAUGCCUAUCUUUUGUGAGAUAAGCCCAGAACCAGCACAGGCAUUCUGUUGCUUACCCCUAUUAAAAUGUUUUUAUUUUAUGGCUAUGUGCUUUGGGGCAAAGGAUUGAACUUUGGCAGAGGCUUUUUGGUGGGUAGUUUCUUUCAGGCUAACCAGCAUCUAGUUAUCCAUUUUAAUCACUUUUCUCUUUUUUAAUAUUGACACAGAAUUCUAAUCUAUUGAAUCCUAACAUUGUAGCAUUAAUACAAAAUUUACAUCAAUAGGCCAGUAGCCACCUCGGUCAACUUGGAUAAAAGUUAUCUACAAUUAACAUUUUACCCUCAGGUUUUGUCAUAUCUGUCACAACUAGUAAAGGAUCAGAACAUCAUGCUCUGGUGAAGUGCAAAUACACUACCUACCUUUUGUGCAUCUCUACUAAAAAUAUUACCGUCUCUAUCAAAUUAUGAGUUCAUGCCAUUGCUUAGACUUCUUUAAUUGUUAAUGCAUCUGUGUUAGGUUAAUUAAUAUAUAUGGAAAGCCAGGCAAUCAUUUCAGUGGAGAAGAGCUUGGGUAUCUCAAGUUUUUUCUCAAUUGUAUCUGUUGGUUCUUCCUUUAUAGUCACAGAGGGAAUAAAAAGCACUUCUAAGAGGGGGUUUCAUCUGAAGUGUUUUACAUGAUUGGAUUAGGAUGACAAGAAUCAUGCCACCAAAAUUUUAAUUUCUUCCAGCUGAGUGUAAAGGGAGUGAAGGGUCACUAGUUCAGAUGUAAAUAAAUAACUAUAUUCUUUUGAUGUCUAAAGUUAGGUAAGAUGUAUCCAAGCUCCUUAAGCCAAUAACAACAUUAUUAGUAAGUGCUCAAUUUUUCUUCUUUUUGCCCUUUGUUGUCUUACUGCUGGCCAUAUAUUUUAUUUUGUAUUACUCUAGCUUUCCCUAUUGAUUUCCCGGGCUUUAAGCUUCUCAUUUAUUUAUUGCGUUUGAUGGACCUCUUCCAUAUGUUACGCUGGGGAGCAGUGGGUGGCUGGUUCUAACAUCUAUUUCCAUUUGCCAGUGAACCAGAGUAGGCUUUUAGCUCAAGAUUUCAUCCUUCUUGGUGGAGUGCUCUUUGCUUUUUCAGCGCCUUUUUAGUUUGUGUUAUAGACCUCUCAUUUUUCAUUUGCCUUUUUCUAUCUGCUUUUCCCCAGUCAACUUCUCUCACAAUUUUCAUCAGCCAAGGGAAUUUAGCCAUUUUGCAGCAUCAAUUACCGUAGAGGGGAUUCACCUUGCCUCUUUUAUACAUCUAUUGAAGUGUAAUAACUCACAUUCUGGUGGUGCCUUGCCCCUUGCAUUGACUGUGAAGGGAAUUUGUAUGGGAAGAGAUCUAACUUUUGGAUAACUAACAUGAGAUGAGAUGAGAUGAAACAGCCUCAGGCUCUAAGAUAGGUGUCAUGACUUGCCUUCUAGCACUGCCUAUUUCCCUCUGUUGCCUGCAGAAGGAGUCCAGGGCAACUAGAUCUAAACCCCUGGUAGAUAAUUAAAAUUACAUGACAUAAAUCCCAUCUAUCAUCUCCAGUUAUCCCUCACCGACUCAAGGCCAGGAAUUAAUACAGCUCUAUCCAUCGCAGUGAGACCCAUAAUUGAGUUACCCUGUAUUGAGAGCAGUAAUACUUUCUGUGUUAAAGGAUCACAAGGCAUAAUUUUAGAAACUUUAAUAAGUUGUGUGACCUCCACGCUACAUUUCUGAGAUUGAAUUCUCCCAUGGCAAGACAAUCGCUUCCUGCAUUCUGCCUCCUACCACAGACAAGCCAUAAGAAGUAAUUCUGAUAUGGUUUAUAAAGACUCUUCCUUUUUCACUUCUGCUGUAGUCUCUUCUUGUCUUUUGUUUUUUAGCACAUUAUUAAUUAGUUUCUGAAUUAUUAGGAUAUACACACCAGGUAGGAGUGUCUUCGUAGUGCUAUCGCCGCAUCAUUCACAACUGUCACCUCUUCCCAAAAGAAAUUUUAACUAAAUUUCUUUAGCAUCCCAGUCGCGUGAGCCAUCUCAGCUGCCAAUAAUACUUGCAUCAGAGAUAAUUUCAAAUCUAGUUCUUUUUUUAACUAGACUUUUAAAAUUAGUACCUAAUGACCAGAAAUAAGGUGAGUGGUUCCUCAAAAUGAGGAUGAAAUUGGAAAUGUAAGUAAAAAACACAGUUUGCAAUGAGUGGAAGUGAAAGAAAUUGGGGAAGGGAGAACAGUUAGUACAUCGGCCUGUGUUCAUUUUAUACUACAGAGCCCGUAGUGGAAUGUGAGGUUCCUGUCUGAAUAAACCUCCACUUUCUGCAGAUAAUCUCAUCUUGCUCCAGGCACUGGGGAAUUACAGACAACUGUCACUGUCAGUGUCUUAUUACUUGAAGCAAUGAGAUAAGAGAUAAGAGAUCUGUGCAAAAGAACUCAAGUAUCAAUCCUGUUGCUGACCCUAUGGAUAUUAGCAGAAUCUCACUAGAUAAGUUUUUUGUUUAAUUAUUUUUUUUUCUUUUUUCUUUUAAAUUGUUUUAUUUUUUUUUUUUUUUAAACCAAGCUGUGAGAUUUAUUUGGCUUACAUGUUCAAUUUCCCAUGGAACUUCUCUCUUGUCCUCAUGGCACCUGUAAUGCUUCUUCACAGCGUGCAGUAGCUGCUUUUUAAUGUAAUGAGUAUGGUAGUUAUGGAGGUAGCACCUAGAUCCUAUUGCAGCUCAACGCUGCAGGUACUCCUUCGUUGUGUGACCUAAUGGCAUAAGUGUAUUCAGCCAUCACGGGACUCAACAUUUUGCCAUCUUCUGCACCAGAAAAGAAAUUGCUUGAAAGUCCAAAAUGGAAGAGAGUUUCUCAUUUACAUUACAAGUUUAUUCUGCUCUUCAGUGGUGUUCAGACCCUGCUGUUCUUCAGUUCCUACACCCCUAACACACUUGAGAUCUCUUUUUUACAGACAGGGAACAGAAUUUGAGUUCUGGUGAGUUAUCUGUAAUAGUAGAGGAAUUGUGUAGCAGGACUUUUGAAUAAUAUCAGGAUUCUUACAGUAGUAUGUGGAGAAGAAAGUCAGCCCUGUGCAAUUGUUGUCGUUUCCUCUCCUACCUCUGAGAAAAGCCGAGUGCACAAAAGAUUUGAUCUAGGUAGGAAGAGAAUUUUUUUCAACAGAUUGUUUGCAUGGCUGUACACACACCCUCACUGAAUUGCUGGAAAAUCUCAUUGCUAUAGCCAAACCCAUUUUAAUGAACUACUCCUUUGUAAUUAUUCAAGUAUCCAUCCUGCUGCUAAAAAAAAAAAAAAAAAAACACACAGCAUAGCAAUGAUUUAACACAGCUCUGCAGCAAUUAGCACUCAUAAAACAACAAAGGAACACCUCACAAUUCACAGAGGAAUCAAAGUAUGACAUCAAAAGUAACUCAUUACAAUCACCAUAACACACCUCAGUUUUUAUAGUAGCAAUCACAAUGUUUUGGUGGGUUCAACUCCUUCUGUUCUUAAGAAUUAUACCUAAAAAGCAGCUACAGAACAUACUUAUUGCAUUUUCAAAAGCAUAUUAAUUAUUUCAAAGCUUUUUUUCUUCUUUUAUUGAUUUAUUUGGGGGGGAGGGGAGGAAUGUUGAAAAGUGGGACCUAAUAGUUCAGUUGCUUAUUUGCUGCAGAUUUUAUUUAGUCUAACUCCACUCACUUUAAUAAGCAUGAAGUUGAAAUAGGAACCAUACACUCCCAGUUACACCUGUGGCUAGUUUAGUCAUCACUUUUAAAACAGAAUCAAACUCACUUUGCCUUCCUCUUGCCCAGACAUCUGUAAAUAGCUUGUUUUCCAUUUGAGUGGCUUUGUGACGUUUGCUUUUUUUCCCCUCAAUGCUUACUUUUUUUUUUUUUUUUUUUUUUUUUUCUUUCUUGGCGUUAUAUUAUAUUAGUAGCGGAUGGCACAGGGGACUUUGACUACUUUUCAGAUGUGCCUAAUAAACACCAACUGGGAAUGAUGUUCCUUAGUAGAUACACUCACGCAGUUCUUCAGUGGUGGAGUUCCAAGUAAUUUGUCUGCAAACCAUCUCCCUCCACAGCCUGCAUUUGGAUGUUGUAUUAGCUGAUCAGUUCCCCUCACCAGAAUGGAAAAGAGACUUUUAGUAGAGGAAUGCACAGCAAGGCAGGGGACCACUUGCAGAGAAGCUUGCUAAAUCGCUGUGUGACUCUUCUUGCCUAACCUUAACCAUACCAAACAUCUAAACAAGUAGCACAGAUUUUCUGUGCAAAAGACAAGUACCUUAAAAAGAUGAUUUAUCCUCUCCACAAAUAAGGUUUUGAUGAAAUGCUCUAGGAAAACAGAAUUGUCCCACAGUGAUGUCUCUCUGCAGAGAUGCUCCAGUUGACUGUGUUGGAAUUUGUCUUGUCUAAUAAUUAACAUCUAAAUAUUAGAUGAUGUAAGCUAAUCAUCUAGGCUUCUUGGACUGAGGAAAAAAUACUAGUCAUGUGCAUACUGAUACUGAUGAUGGUCCCAGGUAGCAUGAAUCACCCUGGGGAUGUGACUCAUUCUUUUUCCAUGCACUGUAGAGGGAACCAACUAAUCUACGUUCAGUUGGACUAAUGAAAUCUAAUGAGACUCUUUCAACUAACAUAGGGCAUGUAUGCAAAUUCCUAAUUUCUAGCCAUGUGUGUCUGGUGUAAAUAAGACCACUAUUUUCACUCAGUAUAUCUUAGCCACUUAUUUUUGGUAACUAAAAGCCACAUGGAGGUGGUUGUCUCUUUCCCUCUGUAAUGGAGGCCUAAACAUUAAAUAGGUAAGCUCUGUUGAGCAUGUUAAUAUGUUCAGGGCUUAGAAAUUGCAUUGAUGGUGCAAAUUGGAUGAGCUGUUGAGGAAGAUGUGAAGCUAUUAGAGAGGGCCACAGAAAGACUACUUUAGCCAGUGAUCUGGAGAAAGUAAAACAAGAAAGUUCUAUGGAUGCUACAAGGUUCUUGUUUUGGUCUCCUCAGGGUGCUUGUAUUUACUCAAAGCUUAGCCUGAUGUUAGAGGGUGGAGAUGGGUCUUUUGCUUUUAGGCUUUUAGUAUUUACUUUUUCUAUGUGUAUCUGCAAAGAAUUCGUCUUAAGUAGGUGGAAAAUGCAUACAGGAAAGCAAUCCAUGGAGCAGGUGGCACAUGAGAAAGUUUCUGAAAGCUACACCUGCAUCUCCUUGUGUUGUUGCUUGUAUCUUGUACAGAAUACUGAGAACAAAUCUCAGGUCACUGUAUUUAUAUUAGGUGGCAGAUGUGAACCCGCCCCUCCAAAUGUUAUCUUAUAAUGGUGCCAUCCUUGAGCAUUAUAGUGGCAGUGAAGGAAUAUGUGCAAUAGCACCACAUUAGUAAUAAUACCAUAGACUGGUCCUUGAUGUUUAUUUAUUUAUUAUGGAUUAUAUAUGAUAUAUUUAUUUAUUAUGGAUUUAUUUAUUAUUAUGUUUAUUUAUUUAUUUGUUUUAUUGAAUCUUCUGGUCACUUCAAUCACCAGAUAGGUGUCUGGUUACCCCUAUCUGUCUGGUCACUUGCUAUCAAAAAUACCACGGAGAGCAGACUUUCUUCAAUGUGUUUGUCAGGAAUAAAGGUGGUGACAUUCAGAAAAGCUAGGGCAAAACAGUUGCUCUUAAAUUUUAAAUUACCUUUUGUGUUGAGGUACUCUACUGAAUUGGCUUCAUGACCUCCUGUAUGUAGAAAUAUAUGGAUCCACCAACAAUGACAAAUUGGCCUCAUGACCUCCCGUACAUAGAAAUAUAUGGAUCCACCAACAAUGACAGACUGAAACUUGGCCCUCUAGAGGGUGACAUUUUUCCAAUUGAGGUAAUUAAACAGAUCCAAAUAGAGAGCUUUUUAGACACUGGUCACAGAAGACAUUUUAUGUCCCUUCCAUUCAAAAUCAUUUUGGUUAUUUUACUGUAUUGUAAAUGGAUGGCCUGUAGACAGUGUUGCAGUUUAAUUUCCUUUAAUUUUUAUUUAAAAUUAAGAAAAAAUAAAAUCCUUAAAAGACAGAAAACUUAGCAACUAUGCUCAAAAGCGAGAGGGACACAGAAUCUGUGAUACAUUUCCUCGCCCAGAACAAUAUAAUAGCUGUCAUUUACUGUCCUAGAGCAUGUAAAAUAUGGCAAGAACAUUGCAGAAGACAAAGCCACAACUGUUACCACAAAAAUACUAAGAUUUAUAGCCAGUAAUCUCUGGAGAAGUGUUAGAGUAGCACUUCUACAUAACAAAGGUUGUAAUCUGAUGCCACUAUUUAAACUGGAACAGUUUAAUGGAACAGUUCCCAAACUUCUUCACUGGUUCCAAUGUGUUCCUGAAUUCCCUUCCAGUUGCAACUACAGCCUUUUGUUCCUGCUUCUGGUUGUGAAUCCUACUUUUUCAAUAAAACUUUUGUCACACGCACAAAUACUGAUCCCUUGUUUAAGAACCGCUGCUCUCGUAUUAGUUUCCCCCCAGUGUAUUUCUCCCAUGUGCUGUAAGCCAUUCUAGUUUUGUUUUGUAAUGCUCACCAGGCUUUUGAAGAAAGCAGCAAAAAUGCAUCAGAAGUGACGGCACUCAUGUAACAACAACUUUACCACCUGACACUGUAAGAAGGAUGAAUCACUUGCAUGCAUCUGUGAGUUCAAGCUGCCUCGCAAAGUUCUGCAAUUAAUUUGUUUGGCACGGUGGAGGAUAAAUGAUUGUCUGCUCUGAAGUGAUUGCUGUUCUCAUUUUCUUUGUUAUCAUUUCCGUAUCUGUAGCUCUUUGACAUGGCAAAUCAUGGCUAAGAGAGAAGUGUGAGGUGUCUGUUAGCGGAUGGCCCAGCAUCAAAAGAGACCAAUUAGCAAUGUCCCCAUCUGCUGCCUAGACUCGUGCUUGCUUCCUGCCUGUUCCUGGAGCCAAGAAUUGAACUGGAAGCCUUGGAUUUCAUGCACAGCAGCUGCAGUCAAUUUCUCCAAUGUCACACAUUGUCCUGAGAACUUGUUAUAAGAGCUGAAGAACGGAAGUCUUGUCAGUGCCUUUCUUAUUGAGGCUGGCCCUCUUCUCUUAAUACUGUUCAAGAGACCACCACAGACUAGUUGAGAUCUAUUUAAGAUCUUUUAGAGGUGGUGCCAAAAAGAGAGCUCUUACUCUUUCACACCCACACUGUGUCAGAAACAGCCCUGCAUGGUUGGAGGGACCAGAUGAUGAUAUCAUCUUCAUUAGGUUCUUGGGGGCCCAUGGAUCGCUUCUAAAGGAUCUAUGAAGGUUGCUGAGAAAAGGAAAUAUCUGCUCUGUUAGCCUAAAAGAUCCUCAGAUUUGAAAGGACUGAAGGCCAUUUCACUGGAGAGAAGUUCUGUACAGCUAAAUGAAAAAUAUCCCAGAAGCUUGGGGAAUACAGGGACCCAUGGGACCUAUUCUGAAAGAAUCUUUGUGAAAAACAUGUGGCAGAAUAAAAAUGUAAUUUAUUCCCCCUUC